rnacentral:lncRNA from 1 species
GUCAAAAUUAGGUGAGUUUUUCUUAAAACAAGAUAAGUAAUCUGCCAGUGGGGUUCUUAAAAUAAUGUUGUUUUAAGUUUGAAAUAAGUUUAUUUUGCCUACUCCACUGGCAGAUUAUGUACCUUCUUUUAAUGUAAAACUCACUUCAUGUUGACUUAUUGUUUCUGAAAACAAAUUUUUACUUCUAUAGAAAAUGCUUACUGAUAUUUGAACUAGAAACGAGACAAAAACUCCAAGUACGAAAAACAUUUUAGCAGUGCAUAUAUCUGACCUUACACACAGUCCAGUUGUUGAUCAGCUGUGUUAUAACUCUUUUUACAUAUGAUUUUCAAAGUCCUGUCUCAGACAGGAUCCCACACACACACAUAAUCUGACUCUUCACAUAAACUACAAUUUAGCUCGUGCUUCAUGUUAACGAGUCUUGUUUCCUGCUCUAGGUCUUCCUCUUUGCUCUUUGGGCAUCAUGAAAGAUGCUUGGGAACGACUGCGCCAGUGCAUCAGUCCUACCACCGUGUUGUACCCAGGCGGAGGUGGCACACCCAUCUUGGCACAGGUCUUCCAUUUUCUUUGUGGGAGCCUCCUGCGAACCUCCUCUCUGAUGGACAAGGAUGGAGGCACACACGCUGAUCCUAAAGCCAUUACCGUAGCCAUGGCACAGCAACACCAAAGAGCUCAGGUUCGCUUGGAGGCCUUGUGUCAGAUUUCCUCGUUCCUGUCAGAAAUGGAGGAAAAGAGUGUUAGCUCUCUAGCGCCUCCACGUUUUCCAGGCCUCCUGCAAUCGGUGCAGCUGCAGUUCCUCUCAGGCUGCUUUGGCCUGGGAGCCCCAAUUACCGGCAGUUUAGCAGCUCCUAACAACAAAAUUCAUCAUUACACCGCUGGGACUCAGUCGGCUCCUAUCAGUGUUCAGAGAGAGCUACAGUGUGCAGCUCAUAUGCUCUAUCAGCAGCUGGUGCGUGUGCUCAGGCAGAAGGUGGCUCUAGAGAGAGAGCAGGCAGGUUCUUAUCAGCAUCUGCUGUUGGCCACAGUCUUUGCUCUGAAUUUCCACUAUCAGCCGGUGGAUCUGGUGGUGAUUAUUAAAUGUGGCGUCCUGGAGAUCUUGUCCACGCUGACUGAUAACACCUGUGUGCUGGUGAACCAGCGCUGGCUCGCAGCCUCCAUGUCCGGACACAUGCAGCUCGGUGGAGCCGUCAAACUGGCCGCUGCCAGACUCCUGCAGAUCUUCGCCAUUGCCGCCAGUUCCUGUGAAGAAGCCUUGCCGCUGGACGUGUCUCAGGCUCUCAUGGAUGUGAUGAGCGAGCAGCUGCAGGGUUUGUUACAUGCAGUUCACCAGCAGGAGGUGCUUGAGAGGAACUCUACGGAGAGCAUCCCAGAAGAAACACCCAAACAAGAAAGUGAGUCCUUAGCAGACGAGAUUCAGCCUUGUCUGUGUUUAUUUGGAAUUUAA